UAAACGGCCCUUUUCAGGGCCAUCAAUAUAUUACAAAAAGAUUCU
rnacentral:ncRNA from 1 species